rnacentral:lncRNA from 1 species
ACUGGCCCACAAUAAAGAGGUGGUUGUUUGAAAGGCCACCAACCAGCUGAGCCCGGACAGAUGGAGAGGUGGUCCGAGACAGUGCCAGACACCCAACUUCAGGGCCAUCAACCCAGAGGCACUCCAUGGCAGUGGGACAGGGUCUGUCAUCUGAGGUUGCCAUGAACCUGUGUUGGUGCCUACUUGCCAUUCCCCAGGAGGGACACAGGCUGGUUUCCCCCAGCCUCUGGUCACAGGACAGUUCAUGACCCAUGGGAACACCUGUGGGAGCUGGAAGAUCACCAUCGCCUCCACUACCAUCAUCAUCAGCUUCACAAAUAUCACCAUCACCUCCACCACCAUCACCCCUGGCUCCACCGCCAUCACCUUCAUCUUCUUCACCAGCAUCAGCUUCACUGGCAUCACCAUCAGCUUCAGCACCAUCACCACCAUCACCGUCACCUCCACGUUCACCCCUUCCACUGUGUCCCCCACCUCUACCUGCACCAUCGCCAGCAUCUCCUCCACCCCACCUGAUGGCUUCAGGGUUGGGCUUAACUGCAGCUGCUCCUUGGCCUCUCUGGAGAACCAUCUCAGGGUCAAGGUUCAUACUACUGGUGAAGUCCCUUGGAAGCUGCCCCCAGCUCUUCAGACCCCCACUUACAACCUCACCCUGAGAGUCUUCAGUGAAGCCAGCUCCAGGACAGGUUCAAAGCAGAUGCCCUCCUGA